CCAUUAGCUCUCAGGAGAAUUCCCUCACUAUCACAAGAACAGAAUGGGGGAAGCUGCUCCCAUAAUCCAAUCACCUCCCACCAGGUCACUCCCUCCACACAUGGGGAUUACAAUUCAACAUGAGAUUUGGGUGGGAAAACAGAGCCUAACCAUAUUAGGGACAGUAAUGUUAUCUUAAGAAAAGCUAGUUGACUGUGUGACAGUGGCCUGAUGAAGUUCAGCUUCUAGGAGUAAGUAUCAUGAACUCUGGGAACUAUAAGAAAGAAACAUAUCUGAGAUUGACAAGAGGAGUAGCAGUAGAUGGCUCAAACAUUGGAUGAGGAAUUGAUUCUAUUUUUAUAAUAUGUCAAGAUAAAAAUUGGCUAGAAAUUAAAAAUGGAAUCAAAUCAUUAAGACGUUUCAUUUUUACCUGUCAACUGUCAAAAUAAAGAGUUGGUCUUCAUUUUCAUUUUCUACUGAAAUCCUCCACCUUCUAAGAGGUAGGGAGGAUGAAUACUAUCUCAAAGCAGAGAGGAACAAUGGGCAGAUUCAUAGAUUAUAGCCCUAUUGUGAAGGCUAACAUUUUAAGAGAAAUGUUUUGCCUUGAUUAAAACUAUGAGUAUGUGAAAAUAAUGUUGGAGUCUUGGUCCCUACCUCAGGAAUAUAAGCUGAAGAGUCUAGAGGACUUUAUUCUUUAAAUUAUAUCUUAAGUUAAGGAAUAGUUUACAUAUAGUAAAAUGCACAAAUUUUAAUGAAUAUUUUGAUAUGUAUAUUCCCAUAUAAUCUGCAGCCAGAUAAAUAUGUAGAACAUUUCUAGCACCCCCUAAAAAUUAUGCUCAUGUGCCUUUACAAUCAGUACUACAGAGUUAACCAUUUAUUCAGAAUUACCACCUCUGUUCUUAACCUUCAUAUAAAAUGAAAUCAUAUAGUAUGUAUUGUUUUUGUCUGGUCUCUUUCAUGCAAUAUAAUCUCUUUUUGACAUUCAUUUAUUUUAUUGCAUAUAUUCUUUUUGAUUGAUGUAUAGCAUGUCAUUUUUUGUAUGUGUAUGUUUUGAAGGACAUUUGGCUUGUUCCUACUUUUUGUCUGUUAUGAAUAAAGCUGCUGUGAACAAUCAAAUCUUCUAAUGGACACAUGCACUUAUUUCUCUUGAGUGUCUCUAGGUAUGUAAUUGUUGGAUCUGAGAGUAGGUAUGCAGAUUUCCAAAAUGGUUGUACAGUUUUAUACUCCUGCCAGCAAUGUAGAGAGAUCAAAUUGCUGUACAUCCUCACCAAUACUUAGUAUUUUUAGUCUUUUUAAUUUUAGGCAUUCUGGUGGAUCGGUAGUGACAUUGUACUGUAAUUUUAAAUCACAUUUCCCUAAUGAAGAAUUAUAUUGAGCACCUUUUUCAAUGCUUAUUGGGUAUUUGGCUGUCUUCUUUAGUGAAGUGCUUGUUCAAGCCUUGCCAAUUGUUAAUUGGUGUUUGCCUUUUUCUUAUUGAUUUGUAGUUCUUUUAAUAUUCUGGAUAUAAGUCAUUUUUCAGGUAAUAAGUAUUAUGAAUAUUUUCCCAGUCUGAGGCUUGUCUUUUCCCUUUUGUAGUGCUGAAGAUUUUUUAUUUUGAUGAACUCCAAAGUAUCACUCUUUCCUUUGAUUACUACUUUUGCAUCCUGCUCCAAAAAAUCUUUGCCCAUCCCAGGCCACAAAGAUAUGCUCCAUGUUAUUCUUUAAAAGCCUUAUAAUUUUAGUCUUCUUAUUAGGUCUGUAAUCCAGCCAACAUUUUUAGUAAAAAUGUACAUCAGCAAAAAUGUUUUGAGUAUGUGUCCCCAGUCUACACAAUUUUAUUUAUGGAAGAUCUAAUUUUCUACCACCAAUAUUAAAUAAGGCUUGAUUUUUAAUUUUUUUUUUUCUCAAUAUAUAAACAGAAGUUCCAGUGGAUCAUGUUGUACACAGCCUGGGGUAUAUAUACCCCACUCUGAACACUAUUGUUCUAUACCACCAAAGACUAACAUUUGUGACAAACACUGAUAGCAUUAAUGUCAGAAGAAGACUUUAGUGUAAACAAAUGGCUAGAGUUGACAGAACCCCAGUGAGCAUAUCUGCUAGCAAUAUAAGACGCAAUGUAAGAGACUCUCAGUUUUCUCUUGUACCAUCAUGUUUGUCUCCCCUUACCAGGCUUAGAGACAGCAGGACGAUCUGACUUGGUAGGAGCAAAGAAAAAUUUGCCUUUGGUUGAUGACAUAGGGGCAGUGCUCCUGAGUCUUCUUCCCCUGUCCUCAUCACCAAAUUCCUAGAGCUGAGCUUGGCACUGGGCUGACUGAGUUUUUGGCAAAGAUGCUUAGAAUUUGACUGGAGCUAAUCCCCAGGGAAAUUUAAUGAUUUGGAGCUUAGAGGGCCUUUGUUGUGAGGAUUAGUAAACUAGAAGGUGAUUAAGCAGCUGGGGAGGAAGGAGCUGUCUGCUGGGCUAGGUCAUGCUGUGGGGCGUAACAUAGUUCCAUUGGCUCAAGGUCAGGGGAGCCCUUAGGCCUGAUUCACAGAGCUUUACACUCUGGGGAAGCUCCUUGUAGGAUUUGGGCAUCUGCUUAUUAGCUGGUAGAGGGAAACAAUGGCUUCUCCCUUGGUGUCCACCUCUUCCCUCUGUCUACAGGUAGGGAUUACUGCUUUGAAUCAGGUCUACUUACAUCUUUUUAAUUGGUUAUUGUUUUUUAAUUCUCAUUUAAGAGAAAAGGUUUUGUUGUCUGUUUUGCCUUUUGGAAAACUGGUGUAAAAUACAGAUGAAAUUAGGAACAGAGUUUCUUGUUUUUCUAAUAAAGACUGCUUCGGAAACUUGAGAGAAGUUUUUAUGGGAAGAAGAUGCUGAGAGAGACAAGUUAAGUGUUGAAACCCAUGGCAAGAAGACUGCCGAAGUUUGAAAGCCUGUAUCUCCCAUGCCCAGGGAGCCCAGAUCAAUUUCUCCUAGCAUGAUCAGAUUCUAAGAGAUACCAACAACGAAAAAGAGGGUAGAUUAGAAACAGACAGCCCCCAACCUGUGGUUUGCUUAAGAUUUCAAACUAAGUUUCAGAAUGAGCAAGGACCGUAUUCAUUCUUUGAUGCUUCUGCUUCUUAAUAAACUUCCCAAAAAGCCAGCUUAUCUCUAUCUCUACAUUUUCUAUUGAUUUCCCAGAAAAGGCCAAAUUGAUGAACAGCUGUCUGGAGUGUUACUAAAAACUUAAAAAUCUUUCUAAGAUGCUAAAAAGGUUUUCAGAGGCUAUAUUCUUUCUUUAAACAAUUGGACUACUGUAUUCUGAGUGAACCUUUUCUGUCUAUUUGCAAAAAAAAAAAAAAUCAAUUUAAACAAUUAUGUUGUUUGCCUUCUUAGAUAAUAGACAAGCUGGUGGAGGUAGGAGUAUGGGCUGGUAAUUUGGCCAGAAGCUCUUGAAACUGACUAAGAAAGUUUCAGUUGAUGCCCAUUUUUUUCCAGUAAAUUUCCUGUAGCAAGCAGAGGUAUUCACAAUCAUGUCAUUGAUUUUUAAUGCUGCUCUCACACUACUGUAAUAGGUGUUCAGUACCGAUCAGUUAUUGUUGCAGAUGGUGCUUCUCCUCUGAAUGAAUUUUUAAAUUACAAACCUGAUUUAAUAAAUCUUUCUUUACUUUUUCAUCUCCUAAAUUUAUUCAAAAGACCCAAGCAAGUAUCUGUUAGUAUCUGACUAAAUAAAAGCUACUAGAAAGCCAGCAAGUGCUGUUAAUUGUUCUUUUUCUUUACUCUCAAGGGGCCAACUUGUCACUUUGUUGACAGCUAUCAGAGCAUUUCAUGCUUCAUUGAAGACCCAUCAAAAAUUUCCAAAUCACUAGCUCAUUAGCACAAAAUAGGGCUUCAGGAAUCUCUUUCUUUCAGUGUCCUGACUGGGCCUUAUUAAGUGUUCCAACCUUGGUGGACCACUCUGAAACAAUGGAUAAAGACCAGGGGAAUUGAAAGAUGGAUGUUAAUUAGUCAAUUUUGAAGGAGUGAAACAGGGGUGAAGGCAGAGUACAAUGGGACAAAAAGCUGAGAUUAUCUGUGUCAGCAAAAGGAUAAUGCAUGACUUUGCUAACUGUUCACAGGUCACUGAAUGUCAGAGCUGAAAAGGCCCAGAGCUGUCAGAGCCCCAAGAGAUCAUCUAGUCAGGCCCUCUUACACAUUUUACCAGCAAGAGAAGAGAGGCAGCAAGAAGGGAAAGGGACUUGUCCAAAGUCAAUCAGCUCUUUCUAGCUUUCCGGGUACCACCUGGCUUUUGGUUAUAUGACCUCUGUGUAAUCAAUUUUCAAUUACUUGGGCCACUCACUGCUAGCCCCGCGAUCACUUGGAUAAUCCAAAAUGACACAUAAGUUAACCAUCGUUUACAUUGAGCUUUGUGAUGUGUGUUUACACUGACAUUCCAAUGCAUCUGGGUCUAAUCUGAAAAUUCACAACACUUCAACUGAAACAAGAAAGCCACCCUGAAGGUCUGAUGCAGGAAGAGCUGGAAAGCUGACCAGCCUUACGGAAUGGAUAGCAUCAUAUAUUGUUAUACAGCCCCUCAAACAGGGUAUGUUAAUUUCAAUAAGUUUGUUUAUUCACACAUUUCCGGGACCCCAGCCACAGUUAGGAGGAGGUUGGGGGAAGGGGAAACAAAACCUUUUAUAGAAUAUACAUAUCUUCUUUUCCCCCUCCCUCCUCCUUCUCCCUUCCUCUCAUUUGUUUUUCCUUCCUUUCUGUCCUUUUUUUUUAUUAUUGAUAGAAACAUGAACAUCUGCUUUGUCUUUCAUGUAAAUAAAUAUGUAGCUGAGACAUUGACCUGUAGAACUGACUGUCAGGAUGCCAAACGAUAAAUAGAAGACAUGCUAGAUCUCAGAAAUCUAGAAGUAGAGGGGGAAGGAGAAAGACCAGUGAGCAGUAAUUUAAAAAGGACCAAAAAGUCUGGAAGAGUAUGGAGUCCAUUGCACAGCUCGGUAAAUACCCUGGGUCUGGAAAAGGGCUAGUCUGGGGUAUAGUUGAAGGGAUCUUCAAUCAAAUGGAGUGUUACUUCCUGAUCUUGAUCCAUUCAAAUUCUUGGAUUAUGCUGGGGACCCAAAAUUUGCUGGGUUUUUGUCUAAGCAUCUUCAGACUUAUACUAAAGUGGCAUUAUUUCACUUAACAUAUCUCCUGAGGAGGAUGCUGGUGACUGAGAAGGGGCAUGGAACAGAAAAUAGGGGCAUGAACAGUUGGCACGAUGCUAUAGUCCAAGAAAGAGUCUGUGCAAGGACUUAGUGGCAGCUUUAGUAGCAGUAAAGAAUGCCAAGUGCCUUAGCUUUUGCUACAGCAAUAAUUAAGCAUUUUAGUUUAAAAGGUUUCCCCCUUUCGUCUUCUUGCGUAGUAUAAACAGAGAUCUUACUGGUGUAACAGAGUGUUUAAUUAACCAAAGAUGGUACUUAAUAUCAAUACAUGUUGAGGGUAAGACUUGCUUUUGGUAACAGUAAUAUGGAUAAUUAAGUCGUAUGAAUUAAAAACAAUGGGUAGGGGGCAUUAAGACUAUGUAGAGGGAAUUAAGACUAAUCAACAGGAAAAUCUAUUAGCAUUCAUUAGUUAGACUUCUGUUUGUGAUUCUUUGUUAGCCUCAGGAAACCCUUUCAAAUAGCUGAUCCCUGUUGAAAGUUCUGCCUGGUGCUAAGGGCCUUCUAUGGAUGCCAAAGGAAUGAGUCAUUCAAAUAGAACUUCUGAAAUUCAAGUACAGCACUUUCCUUUUCUCUCUCUCUCUCUUUUUUUUUCCUCUUGGUGGCAGGCAGCAGUGACUGUGAAGUAAUAAUGAUAAUGACAACGGAAAUAAGAGUGUAAUCCUGAUUAAUUUGCUAAGAGUUGUUCCCCAUUUACCAAUAUUGGCUUGUUUGGUCUUGAGUGUGGCCUAGGUACCGGAACAAAGGUAUAUAUAUUCAAUGUCACUUGGCUAACCUAUGAUUUGUCAGACAAAGGUUAAUUAAAAAAAAAAAACUGUUGGAUUAGUGGCAAUAAAUAUAAUAACAUUCUGUGAUUUAACUCAGAAGUUCAAUUUAUUGGAUGGAGUUUUAAAAAUUCUGAAUUUACAUUUUUCUCUGCACUCAGAAGGUCUUAUCUGCCAAAUUGCACAUGAGCUGGCCAACCUAAAGCUCAACAAUAUUCUAACUUCCAUAGUGUGGGGAUAGAUUGAGGGGACAUUAUAAAAGAAUGAGAGAAAGACUGGAACAAGAGUAGAAGUGUAAAAAUACUUCCAGUGAAUACCAGCCCUUAGUUGCCCCAUUUAGAAUCUUCCGUCCCCUAAGGACUAUACGAUUUAAUUAUCCUUACAUCCCCUUUCCCUGGAAACAAACAAAAACAACUCCUGAUUACAUCAGUGAGUUGGACCCUUUUUCGCCUGACCAUCUCAGUUGAUAAAUAAGCUGUAGGCAGUAACCUACCCCUGAGGCUAGAAGUUAGGAGCCUUGUUCAUUUUUAUAUCUCUAGCAUGUAGCAUGUUGUCCUGUACAUAAGAGAGAUUUACUUAAAUACUUAAUGAAUGGAUGAGAUGACUCCUACUAUAAAGGAUGGAAUUGAUGUUCCAAUAGGUAUAAUUCACCUUCAUGGUAAAAUGAAUAUAAUAAAAAUGAAUGUAUAAAAUUAGCCAGAAGCAAGGACCCCAAGGAACAUUCUGCUUUGCUUUGCUUUUGCCUGCCCCAGUGGCUAUUAUUUCUGCCUUUGCUUUUGAUACCCUCAGUCUGACAAUCUUCUUUUCCAGAUUACCCUGGUUAAUGGAAAUUCUAUAGGUUGUGUUGGAACAGUAAAUACCCAUAUUUCCAGCUUUCUCUGAAUGCUCAGUCUAUGUCGACACUAGAAGCACUGUGCUGGGCAUGUGUUGAAGAGACACCGAUAAAGAAGCAGCUACAUUGUACCUACUUGUAUCUUUUGAAUUUGCCAUUUCACUCACAGAAUGUUGAGCUGGAAGUCACUUUCCAGGUCUUUAGAGUCAACCUCAUUGUUAUAAUAAUCAGAGCUCAUAUUAAUUGAGGACUUACUGCUGCCAGAUAUUUAGUAUACUAAUGACUCUAUGAGGUAGCUAGUCUUGUUAUCUACAUGUUACAUAGGAGGGAAUUGAGACACAGAUGUUAAGUAACUUCCUCAGGGUCACACAGCUAGGAAGUAGCAGAGCCAGGAUUCAAACGUAUGUUUUUCAGACUUCAAAACCUUCCCUCAGAUAGGAAAGAGCUUGCCAAAGGCCAUUUUGCUAGAGCCUAGUUCUUCUGGCUCUAAUUUGUCUGCACUUUGGUAGGCCAUGCUGCUGCUUUAGCCACACAGUAGGGUUCCUUCUAAGCAUCAGUUUCUUAUUUAGAAGUGCUAAUCUUCUCUGAUGGAGUGCUCAUUCCUCCAGUCAGGGAUUGCAUUAUUUCCCUGUUGCCUCCUUCCUCAAAGGUUUGUCCCAGCUUUGCCUUCAGUAAAUAAUAACCUGUCAUCAGCUCCUGAGCUACCUCCAGGAGCUGCUUGGAACCAUUCCUUAGUACUACUUGUUGCUCCAGGGUUGGGAGAAACAAGUAGAAUUUUUGAGGAGAAAGUCGCCUCACUACCUGCUUUCUGUUUUGUUCUCUGCAACACAGAUUGAAGAUGGAGGCAAGGCAGCUUUGUCCCAGAAGAUGAGGACUGGUGAUGAGCUGGUGAAUAUCAAUGGCACUCCAUUAUAUGGAUCCCGCCAAGAGGCCCUCAUUCUCAUAAAAGGCUCCUUCCGGAUUCUCAAGCUGAUUGUCAGGAGGAGGAACGCCCCUGUCAGUAGGCCGCACUCAUGGCAUGUGGCCAAGCUGCUGGAGAGAUGCCCUGAAGCAGCCACCACCAUGCAUUUCCCUUCUGAAGCCUUCAGCUUGUCCUGGCAUUCCGGCUGCAACACAAGUGACGUGUGUGUGCAGUGGUGUCCACUCUCCCGGCACUGCAGCACUGAGAAAAGCAGCUCCAUUGGCAGCAUGGAGAGCCUGGAGCAACAAGGCCAAGCCACCUGUGAGAGCCAUCUGUUGCCUAUUGAUCAGAACAUGUACCCUAACCAGCGUGACUCAGCAUACAGCUCCUUCUCAGCCAGCUCAAAUGCUUCUGACUGUGCCCUUUCCCUCAGGCCAGAGGAGCCCGCCUCUGCAGACUGCAUCAUGCAAGGCCCAGGGUCAUCUAAGGCUCCCAAUAGCCGGCCUAAUGUAGCUGAGACCUCAGGAGGUAGUCGGCGUGCCAGUGGGGGCCACCUGACCCCCAACUCCCAGAUGUCAACUCGUCCACAGGAGGGACACCAGUCAGGGUCUGCCAAGGCAGUCAGGGGCCCACCACAACCUCCAGUGAGGCGGGACAGCCUUCAGGCCUCCAGAGUCCAACUUCUCAAUGGAGAGCAGCGCAGGGCAUCUGAGCCUAUGGGCCCCUUGCCACAGAAAGAGAAACUGAGCUUGGAGACAGUACUACCCGCAAGGAACCCUAAUAGAUUCUGUUGCCUCAGUGGGCAUGACCCAGUAACAACUGAGGGCCAUCAGAACUGUGAGUUCAGUCAGCCUCCUGAAUCCAGCCAACAAGGCUCUGAGCAUCUACUGAUGCAGGCCUCAACCAAAGCUGUUGGAUCCCCAAAAGCCUGUGACAAAGCUUCCAGCAUGGAUUCCCACUCACUCAGUGAGGCUUCAGCAGAGCUAGCUAAGGCUUCUUUUGGCAGACCUCCACAUCUCAUAGGACCCACAGGGCAUCGCCAUAGUGCCCCUGAACAACUGUUGGCAUCCCACCUGCAGCAUGUGCACCUUGAUACCAGGGGCAGCAAAGGGAUGGAGCUCCCACCCGGACAGGAUGGGCACCAGUGGACUCUGUCUCCUUUGCACAGCAGCCACAAAGGGAAGAAAAGUCCAUGUCCCCCUACAGGAGGAACCCAGGACCAGUCCAGCAAAGAAAGAAAGAUCAGACAAGUGGAUGACAGGCCUUUGGUUUUGAGAUACCAGAGCCAAAGCAGUCCUCCCCAUGGAGAGGUUGAUGGACACCCCUCAGAAAGAGGUUUCCUGGACCUAAACAGAACAAGCAGAGCAGGCAGUGAAUUGGCCAACCAGCAAUCCUCUGCCCCUGGCUCCCUUGUUCAACAAUCCAGGGACUGUUCUUCAACCACUAAAGUAGCUGGUGGCACAGAGGCAACCGAAGAAGGAGACAGUGAGCCCAGGGAGUGUAGCCGGAUGGGUGGCAGGCGAAGUGGAGGGACCCGGGGCCGCUCAAUCCAAAACCGGCGGAAGAGUGAACGUUUUGCUACCAAUCUGCGUAAUGAAAUUCAGAGGAGAAAGGCCCAGCUCCAGAAAAGCAAGGGUCCCUUGUCACAGCUGUGUGACACUAAGGAGCCAGUGGAAGAGACCCAGGAGCCCCCAGAAAGUCCUCCACUCCCUGCCUCUAACUCAUCGCUUCUAUCUUCAUGCAAAAAAACCCCCAGCCCCAGAGACAAGCUCUUCAACAAAAGCAUGAUGCUCAGAGCCAGGUCUUCAGAGUGCCUCAGCCAAGCCCCUGAGAGCCAUGAAUCUAGGACAGGCUUAGAGGGACGAAUAAGCCCUGGCCAGAGGCCUGGCCAGUCCUCUUUGGACCUGAACACCUGGUGGAAAGCAUCUGACCCAUCCUCCUCAGACCCUGAGAAAGCACAUGCUCACUGUGGAGUUCGUGGAGGUCAUUGGAGAUGGUCUCCAGAGCUUAAUUCACAUCCACAUGUGGCAGUAGCCAUGGAAGGCCCUUCCAACCCAGGUGACAACAAGGAAUUGAAGGCUUCUACUGCUCAAGCUGGGACAGAAGCCAUCCUCUUGCCUUUUGCAGACAGAAGAAAGUUCUUUGAAGAGAGUAGCAAAUCCUUAUCUACAUCUCAUUUGCCAGGUUUAACCACUCAUAGCAACAAGACUUUUACCCAGAGACCAAAACCAAUAGACCAAAACUUCCAGCCAAUGAGCUCCAGCUAUAGGGAAUUGAGGCACCAUCCCAUGGACCAAUCAUAUCAUUCCACAGACCAAGCAUAUCAUGCCACAGACCAAUCAUAUCAUUCCAUGUCACCCCUUCAGUCAGAAACUCCUUCUUACUCAGAAUGUUUUGCAAGCAAAGGUCUAGAAAAUUCCAUGUGUUGUAAGCCACUACACUGUGGUGAUUUUGACUACCACAGGACCUGCUCUUACCCCUGCAGUGUUCAGGGAGCUGUAGUCCGUGAUCCUUGCAUUUAUUGUUCUGGGGAAAUCUGCCCUGCCUUGCUAAAGAGAAAUAUGAUGCCAAAUUGCUACAACUGCCGGUGCCACCACCACCAAUGCUUUCGGUGUCCAGUUUGCUACCAUAAUCCUCAGCACAGUACCCUCGAGGACAGCAGCUUGGCACCUGGCAACACUUGGAAACCCAGAAAGCCAACAGUGCAGGAAUUUCCUGGGGACAAAUGGAAACCAAUAACAGGAAACAGGAAGACCAGCCAGUCAGGGAGGGAGACGGCUCAUUCCAAAACUAGCUUUUCGUGGGCAACCCCUUCCCGUCCUUGCCUUGAGAACCCAUCGCUGGACUUGUCAAGCUACCGGGCAAUUUCUUCUCUCGACCUCCUUGGAGACUUCAAACAUGCUUUGAAAACAUCAGAGGAAACUUCAGUAUAUGAGGAGGGGAGCUCCCUUGCCUCCAUGCCCCACCCAUUGCGCAGCCGUGCCUUCUCAGAGAGUCACAUCAGCUUGGAGCCCCAAAGCACCCGGACCUGGGGGCAGCAUAGGAGGGAGCUCUUUAGCAAAGGUGAUGAGACCCAGCCGGAUCUUCUUGGAGCCAGGAAGAAGGCCUUUCCUCCUCCUCGCCCUCCUCCUCCCAACUGGGAAAAGUACAGGCUCUUUCGUGCAGCCCAGCAGCAGAAGCAGCAACAGCAGCAGCCACAGCAGCAGCAGAAACAACAAGAGGAGGAGGAGGAGGAGGAAGAAGAAGAAGAGGAGGAGGAGGAGGAAAGAGAAGAGGAGGAAGAGGAGUUGCCACCCCAGUAUUUCAGUUCAGAAACCUCUGGUUCCUGUGCUCUCAAUCCUGAGGAGCAGCCGCAACCCCUAAGCCUUGGCCACAUGGAGGGCUUAAGACAGGGUUCACAAAGUGUCCAAGCAGAGCAAGAAUCCUUUGCACACCAUUCCAGUGAUUUCCUGCCUCCAAUAAGGGGUUACUUGGGAUCUCAACCUGAGCAGGCUCAGCCCCCUUGCUACUAUGGCAUUGGUGGGCUUUGGAGGACAUCAGAACAGGAAGCCACCGAAUCCCCCAAACAAGAGUUUCAGCACUUUUCGCCUCCUCCAGGGGCCCCAGGAAUCCCUACCUCUUACUCAGCUUAUUACAAUAUUUCUGUGGCCAAGGCAGAGCUGCUGAUCAAACUGAAAGAUCAACCCGAGAUGGCAGAGAUUGGCUUAGGAGAUGAGGAAGUUGACCAUGAACUGGCUCAAAAAAAGGUACAGCUUAUUGAAAGCAUCAGCAGAAAACUUUCUGUCUUGCGGGAGGCCCAGCGAGGGCUGCUAGAGGACAUCAAUGCCAAUUCUGCCCUUGGGGAGGAGGUGGAGGCCAACUUAAAAGCCGUCUGCAAAUCCAAUGAAUUUGAAAAAUACCGCUUGUUUGUUGGGGACCUGGACAAAGUGGUCAACCUGUUGCUGUCACUCUCUGGACGACUGGCCCGGGUAGAGAAUGCUCUCAAUAGCAUCGAUUCAGAGGCCAACCAAGAGAAGUUGGUGCUGAUAGAGAAGAAGCAGCAGCUGACGGGGCAGUUGGCAGAUGCCAAGGAGCUGAAGGAGCACGUGGACCGCCGGGAGAAGUUGGUGUUUGGCAUGGUCUCCCGCUACCUGCCUCAGGACCAGCUCCAAGAUUACCAGCACUUUGUCAAGAUGAAAUCUGCUCUCAUCAUUGAACAGCGAGAGCUGGAGGAGAAGAUCAAGCUUGGGGAAGAGCAGCUCAAAUGUCUCAGGGAGAGUCUACUCCUGGGGCCCAGCAAUUUCUAAUUCUGCCAGCAGUCUGCCACAGCAUCCCUGCCCAGCCACAGUGGGAAGUGCUUUCAAUCUUCUUUGUUAGCAGUUUCUCAGCAAAUAGAUAGCAAUUAGCAGUUUGUUCCAGCCCUCUACCCUGGAUGUCUCUCACUGCUCCUUCCUUAACAGUGGUCCUAACCAGCUAGGAGACCUUGGGGAAGCCACAGGCUUCUACCCAAGGGAGCUGCAGCAAGGUGUGAUCUUACAACCACACUCUCCUUCCCACAGUUGCCAAGGGCAAGUACUUGUUGCACAGAGAGCCAACUAAGUGCCUUCAUUCUGCUUUGUACUAGGACACCAAAGACAUCAAGUGCUCAUCACCCACCCAUAUCAUCAAUAGCCUCUAAAGGCUCAGAGGGAAGCUUCCUUGCAGUUCUACUCUGCCCCAGGGCUUGUGGCCCAGCCAUUUCUCACAGAGAGCUGGCCGCCUUGAGGGCAUUCACCUGGCACCAGUUUCACGGCCUCAUCCACGCUUUGCAGGGAAAAGCACAGAAGGAGGAAUUAUACUGAACAAAAUGCAAGCAAACGUUGAGUAUUCCCAGGUGACCCUUAGGAAGGAACCAGGUUUAAAUCCACUCUACCCUCACCUUUCCCAGCAGCAAGUUCAGGGGAAGAGUCCUACUCUUAGCCCUGGAUAGUGUGACCCACUUCCUGUCCUAAGACUUUGGUCCUACCACCUCUUGUUUCAUCUUUCCUUUUCAUUGCUGGGGGUUACCCCACGUGCCUACCCCAGGGCUUCACCAUAUGGGCCAUUAAUAGCUCUACUAAAGCUGACUUUUAGAUGUAGGUUUCAUUAUUGGGGGAGGUGGUUCUUAUUGUUAUAUUUUAAAUGGCAUUUUGAUUUUAUUUAUUUUUAUGUUUUGAUUAUUUUUUUCUUUUUAAACUAGUAAGGUGAGAAGAGGGAAGUUGGAGAGGGAAAAGUUAGCCCAGGAGGAAAGCAUUUUCUGCAGAUCAGCCUGAAUCCACCAUGGCUAGUCAGUGGCAACAUCACAACCAGUCUAACCCCAUGUUUAGAAUGCAGAAAAAGUCAACAAUGGUGUAAUCUCAGGUAUAGACCUAAGCAGUAUAGAGUCCAAUUCUGGAAUCUAGCCUGAUUGAAGGUAAGCCACGUUCUUUCUAGACUUCAUCUAAUCUUGAAUUCUUUCUAGUAGUUUUAUCUUACUUUCAGCUGAUACUCCAAUCUCACACCUUCACUCUUAGCUCCCUGGAAAGCAAGGGUCUUGCUGAUCUUCUGCUCUCCAAAUCAGCCUCAAAGAUUAGACUCGAAUGUAUUCCAGGCAGCAACUCUGACAUUGAAAAGCUUUCUUUUUUGUGAUCCAUAUUCUGUUCAUAUUCCAACUAUCCUCCUUCUACUCAAGAUAUCCAGUGUGGUAGAGUAGAAAGAGUGCAGCUUUGGCUUUGGCAUUAAAAUUAACUGUGUUCAAAUCCUGGUUCUGCCACUUAUUCAAUGAAUCUAGGCUACUAGCUUAACUUCUGAGGUCAUUUUCUUAUCUGUAAAAUGGGAACAGUAUUAUCCAGCUUGCAGAGUUAUUGUAACUCAAAAAUAAUAAAUAAAAGCCACUAACAAUCCAAGUAGUUAUUAGGCAGAAUCCCAGGCCCACCCCAAACUCGGUGAUAGCAAUCUGAAUUUUAACUAGAUUUCCAGAAGAUUCAUGUACAUAUUAGAAUGUGGGAAGUACUGACUUGUCAAAAAAGUAUUCAGUACCUGGUAACCAUUAUUAUAGUCCUGAUCUACUAAAUUCAUUUUUUCCUUAUCCCAGGCAUAUUUUUGCUCUUCUCAUAUUGCUCACAACUACCUGCCUGGAUGAAUUCAGCAAAGUUGCAGGAUACAAGGUUAAAACACAAGAUCAAAUGAACAAUCCUAAAAUGGUAUUAAGAAAACAGUUCAAUUUACAUAGCAUUAAAAAGCAAAAAAAUAGGAAUACUUUAACAAAAGAAGUGCAAAACUUUUACACUGAAAACUAUAAAACAUUGUCGAAAGAAAUCAGAGCAGAUCUAAACAAAUGGAAAAGCCCUCCAUGUUCAUGGAUUGGAAGACUUAGUAUUGUUAAGAUGAAAUGUACCUCAAAUUGAUCUACAGAUUUAAUCCAGUCCUUAUCAGAAUUCCAGUGGCUUCCUUGCAUAAGUUGACAAGCUGAUUCUAAAAUUCAUGUGAAAUUACAAGGGACCCAGAAGAGUCAAAACAAUCUUUAAAAAGAACAGAGUUGGAGGGCUCAUACAUAUCAAAACUUACUGCAAAGCUACAGUAAUAAGGACAGUGUGGUAAAGGCACAAAGAUAGAUGUAUAAAUAAGUGGAAUUAAAUUGAGAGUCCAGAAAUAAAUCCUCACAUAUGUGGCUAGUUAAUUUCAACAAGGAUGCCAAGAGAAAUUGAGGGGAGUAUAGUUUUUUAGCAAAUGGUGUUGACAUAACUGGGUAUCUACAUGGGAAAAAAAUGAAGCUUUCCUUAAAUCACAUGCAAGAAUCAAUUCAAAAUUGAUCAUAAAAUGUAAGAUUUAAAAUUAUAAAAUUCUUAGAAGAAAACAUUGUAGUAAGUCUUCCUAAUGUCACACACGUAACAAUGUCACACACGUCAUACAAAAAAUAUAAAUAAAUUGGAGUAUAUCAAAAUUAAAAACUUUUGUACUUAAAAGAUAUCAUAUCAAAAGAGUGAAAAGAAAAGCAACAUAAUGAGGGAAAAUAUUUGCAUAUCAAAUAUUUCGAAUAUAAAAAGGACUCUUACCACUCAAUGAUAAAAAUAACCAAUUAAAAAUUGGUAACAGAUUGUAAUAGACAUUUCUUCAAAGAAAAUAUGUGUCUUAUAUGCUUGGUUUGCUAUAACGUACUACCAUAGACUGAUUGGCUUAAAUAACAGACAUUUAAACAUUUAUUUCUCACAGUCCUGGAGACUGGGAAAUCUGAGAUCAAGGUGCCAGCAGAUUCAAUGACUUGUGAGGGUCUACUUCCUAGUUUGCAGAUGGCUACCUUCUGGCUGUGUCCUCAGGAAAGACAGAAAGGGAUAUGGUCUCUUCCCCUUCUUAUAAGGGCAUCAUAAUUUCAUUAUGAAAUCACUCGUGAUUUAAUCUAAACCAAUUUACCUCUCAAAGGCCCCACCUCCAUAUACCAUCACAUUGGGGAUUAGGUCUUCAGCAUAUGAAUUUGGAGAGGACACAAACAUUCAGCUUAUAGCAAUAUGCAACUGGCUAGCAGGCACAGGGAUAGAUGCUCAAGUAUUACUAUUCAUUAGGGAAAUGCAAAUCAAGACCACAAUGAGAUACCACAUCAUACCCACUAGAACAGCUGUAUCAAAAAGCCAAACAAUAAUAAGUGUUGGUGAGGAAAUGAAGAAAUUGGAACACUCAUACAUUGCUGAUGGGGAUGUAAAUUGAUGCAACCUCAUUGAAAAACAGCUUGGCAGUUUCUACAAAAGUUAAACAUAGAAUUUCCACACGACUUAGCAAUUCCAUUCCUAGGUAUAUGCCCAGGAGAAUUGAAAACAGGUGUUCAAACAAAAGCAUGAACAUGAAUGUUUAAAGCAGCAUUACUCAUAAUAGCCAAAAAGUGGAAAUGACCCAAAUGUCUAUCUACUGAGGAAUUUUAUAAACAAACUUUGAUAUAUCCAUACAAUAGGGUAUUAUUUAGCCAUAAAAAUGGAUAAAGUACUGACACAUACAACAUUGAUGAACCUUGAAAAUAUGCUAAGUGAAAGGAGCCAGUCAUAAAAGACCACAUAUAGUAUGAUUUCAUUUAUAUGAAAUGUCCCUAACAGGCAAAUCUAUAAAGGUGGAAAGCAGAUUAGUAGUUGUCAAGACUGGGGGUUCAGGGGCAAUAGGCAUGAGGUUUCUUUUGGGGGUGAUGAAAAUAUUAUAAAAUUAGAUUGUCGUCAUGGUUGCCCAACUCUGUGAAUGUACUGGAAACCAUUGAAGUAUACGUUUUAAAUGGGUGCACUAAAUGGUAGUUGAAUUAUUUCUCAAUAUGUGUUUUUUUUUUAAAGCUAUUGAUUAUUUCUAUCAGUCUCAUUCCUCUUGACAAAAAUCUGAGUUGAGGGUGAGCAUGUACUUCAUUCCUGAAUCCAAAGGGUACAAUAUUUGUACCAUUUGAAUUUGGGAGUGACUUUGCUAUUGCAACCUUCCCCUUGAAGACCUGGAAGACCCAGCAGUAUUAGGAGAAAGAGUAGUCUCUGCCUUGUACUAAGACUUCAGUGAAAAUAACAGAGAUGGGAGGGACUACUAUUGGGAAGCAGGAACAAUCUUUCUAGGUAAAUAUUGUGGUAGAAUGGAUAAGAGCUUCUGUUCAUUGGGCAAAUAAACCACGUUUUAAAUCCUGACUCUACCAACUUACUGUGUCACCUUAAUAAGUUACUUGACUCCUCUCAGCCUUCAUCUAUAAAAGGGGGCUAAUAACAGCCCCAUCUCAAAGUGUUACUAUGAUGAUUAAAUGAGAUAAUUCAUAUGAGCAUUUAAAAUAAUGUCUGUCAUGUAGUAGGUGUUUAAUAAAUGUUAGCUGCUAGAUUUAUUUUUAUUGAGGUGAGAUUGAAGUAGAACAAUAUAAGGAAAAGUAAAGCAUCUUCAGCUUUGGAGUCAGAUAGCUCUGUUAAUGUGACCUCGGAAGUCACUUUAUUUAUUGAGCCUUAGCAAAUAAUGAGGAUAAUAAUCCUUCUCUUAUGGAGGCAGUUCCAAGCCUGGACACUGAAACUCACACCACAUAGAGUUUUGUACUGGCUCCACCACUUAUACAUUGUGUAACCUUGAGUAUGUUUAACUUCCCUGUACCUGGAUGUCUUCUUCUGUCUAAAGGUGGAAACAAAAAUAAUCCUUGGGUUGAUGUCAGAAAUUAUUGAGUUAAUCCAUGCAAAGUACUUAGGACAAUAAGUACGCAAUGAAUGCUACCUUUUAUUAUAAAGCUAAAGUUGGAAUCAAAUGAGAUCUCUGGUAGAGCUGUUCGUAUGGUAGGUUCUCCAUAGAUGGUGGUUCCUUUCCUUACCUACUCUGUUCUGUGCACCAGGUCAAGACAUUUUUGGACCUGCAGAUAAAACGUUUCAGCCUUGGGAGCUCCCCACCUUCUGUGAGUAAAAUUUUCUGGCAAGCUCAGUACUACCAUUUGAUGAGAACAAUGUAGUCUGUCAGCUGCCUGCCAGAUGACUCUCUCUACUCCCAAGAAAACAACCCAUUCAGAGCAAUAGAGAAAGAACUGAUUUGCGUGUGAACCACUUAAGGUCCAAUUUGAGGCUUGUUUAGGGAAAACAUCUACUCCUCCUCGAACCUAUCUUUAGGCUUGAAGUCCACUUAAAUGUUAUUGAGUUUCCUACCCUGGGUUAAGCACUUUCACGUAUCUUUGCUGACACUAUUUUUUCUAUCUAAAUAUACGUUUUUAAAACAGAAAUCCUCAUUUAAUCUUUAAAACAGCUCUGUAAUUUUUAAACACUUUAUUUCAUUAAAAUUCAGAAUUGUAGCAUUUUUGCUGUUUGUAAAUUAAACAAAAUGGAUUGUAAGUGUGCAAUGCCAUUCAUUCAUUCAACUCAUGUGCCAAAAAUCUGUUUUGUGGUCCAGGGAUUCAGAAGUGGACAAGACAGAUAAAGUCCCCACUCUCGUGGGGCUUUUAUCCUAAUGAAAGAGACAGAUAAGUAUAAAUAUACAAUUAUAUAAUACUUUAUAUACAGAAAUACACACAUAAUCACUUUUUACCCUAGUAUGGCAAUGCAAAACAUUCUUGCUUGAUUUCCACAGCUAUGUGCAAUAGGCUAAACCCAUGCAUCUCUUUGCUACUGCAGUAACUAAAAUAUUUUUACAUUAGUUUCCACCAGAGCAUAAUGUUGCAGUGAACAUGGGAGUGCAGGUAUCUCUUCAACAUACUGAUUUCAUUUCCUUUGGGCAUUUACCCAGAAGAAGAAUCUCUGCAUCAUCUGGUAGUUUUAUUUUUAAUAUUUUGAAUAAUGUACACUCUUUUCCAAAAUGGGGCACUAAUUUACAUUCCCACAACAAUGUACCAGGGCUCUCUUUUCUCCCUACCCUCAUCAACAUUUGUUAUCCCUUGUCCUUUUGAUAAAAGCCUGCUAUUUGUGACAAAAUGGAUGAACCCAGAGGGUAUUAUGCUAGGUGAAAUAAACCAGACACAGAAAGAAAAAUACUGCAUAAUCUCAUAUGUGGAAUCUAAAAAAGUCGAACACACAGGGGCAUGGAGGUGGAAGAAAUAGGGAUGUUGGUCAAAGCAUACAAAGUUGCAGUUACAUGAAAUGAAUAAAUCUAGAGAUCUCAUGUACAGCAUAAGUUCUAUAGUUAAUAAUGCCGUAUUGUAUACUGGAAAUUUUCGAAGAGUAGAUUUCAGGUGGUCUUACUGCAAAAGACGGUAAUUAUGUGAGGUAAUGCAUAUUUAAUUUGCAUGACUGUAGCAAUCAUUUCACUAUGUAUAUGGAUGUCAAAACAUGAUUUGUACACCUUAAAUAUAUACAAUAAAAGAUUUCACCAAA